AAAAUACAAUAUAAAAAUUAAGAAAUACAUAAUGUUUAUGAAAAAUAAAAGGCCGUGUUACGUCAGUAUUCUGGUACGCAGACCAGAUACUGUUUAGGCGUUCUCUAAAAAAAUGUAAAAAAUAUAACAUUAGAAAGAUUUGCUCUACAACCAGUACCAAUAUUUCAAAUUACAGAUCGUAACAGUUGAAAGUUAAAAAUACAAAAACACAUUCAGCGACAUCACAUAAAAAAUCAAAAUCAAAAUAAAAGACCAACUUUAUUUACUGACGUAAAAACAGAAUGUCUUUAGUUUUUCUUUGAAAAGUAGAACAGGCCAGAUCAAAUGAUGUAAUCUUUAAGAAAUUCAAACUGGAAGCCAAAUUAUAUGAAAAGCUUCGUUUAAAAAGUUCUUUUCUGUGUCCAGGAAUAGUAAGAAGAUGUAAAUUGCCCCAACGAAAUGAAGUGUAGUUUUCUGCGGUUAUACAUGUUAAGCCAGCCGAUGUCUAUAAGCUUAUGAGAGAUCCGAUUUCUGUGGCGUAUCUCAAAAAUAAGGCGAAGGCGCGCAUUUUGUACUUUCUGAAUUCUACGAGAAUCAAACUGAUCCAAACAUGGGCCAUAUAAAGUCUGCCCAACCAAUCUGUAGUCUACAACGUCGUUGUACACUAGACCCGCCUCAUUUCAUUCAUGAAAUGGCCAGUGACGUGCGAAAUUUUAUAAACCGAUUACACAGAUUUGAAUGUAUUAAAUAUUAAAAAAUAUGGUUUGGUUUUAAUUUUAAAUUAGGUAUUUGUAGGUAAGAUAUUAAUUUGGAAAUUAAGGUCUUCUAAAAUAUUUUAUUUGUAAAUAUGUAAUAAAAAAUGCUUUAAAUAUGA